CCAGAAUCUUAUUAGCACAAGGCAAAGCAAGGAAGGAAUCUGGCUGGGCUAGACUUAAGUCCGGCAUGAAGGAGAACUCAACACCUGAGGAAAAAAGCCCUGAAUAAAGAGGCCAUACCAUAGCCAGAGGCUAGCAGUCAGAAUCAUGAUGAAGACCAGAUGACUCCUUGAUUCUCAGUCCAUGUAAAGAAGGGCAAUAAGGAACUACUGAAGGAUUUUGAUCAGAGGAAAGACAUGGUCAGAACUGUGCUUUAGCAAGAUUAUUUUGGCAGCCGUCUGAAGGAUUGGAGAGGAC